GACGAACGCUGGCGGCGUGCUUAACACAUGCAAGUCGAACGGAAAGGCCCUGCUUUUGUGGGGUGCUCGAGUGGCGAACGGGUGAGUAACACGUGAGUAACCUGCCCUUGACUUUGGGAUAACUUCAGGAAACUGGGGCUAAUACCGGAUAGGAGCUCCUGCUGCAUGGUGGGGGUUGGAAAGUUUCGGCGGUUGGGGAUGGACUCGCGGCUUAUCAGCUUGUUGGUGGGGUAGUGGCUUACCAAGGCUUUGACGGGUAGCCGGCCUGAGAGGGUGACCGGCCACAUUGGGACUGAGAUACGGCCCAGACUCCUACGGGAGGCAGCAGUGGGGAAUAUUGCACAAUGGGCGGAAGCCUGAUGCAGCAACGCCGCGUGCGGGAUGACGGCCUUCGGGUUGUAAACCGCUUUCGCCUGUGACGAAGCGUGAGUGACGGUAAUGGGUAAAGAAGCACCGGCUAACUACGUGCCAGCAGCCGCGGUGAUACGUAGGGUGCGAGCGUUGUCCGGAUUUAUUGGGCGUAAAGGGCUCGUAGGUGGUUGAUCGCGUCGGAAGUGUAAUCUUGGGGCUUAACCCUGAGCGUGCUUUCGAUACGGGUUGACUUGAGGAAAGGUAGGGGAGAAUGGAAUUCCUGGUGGAGCGGUGGAAUGCGCAGAUAUCAGGAGGAACACCAGUGGCGAAGGCGGUUCUCUGGGCCUUUCCUGACGCUGAGGAGCGAAAGCGUGGGGAGCGAACAGGCUUAGAUACCCUGGUAGUCCACGCUGUAAACGGUGGGUACUAGGUGUGGGGUCCAUUCCACGGGUUCCGUGCCGUAGCUAACGCUUUAAGUACCCCGCCUGGGGAGUACGGCCGCAAGGCUAAAACUCAAAGGAAUUGACGGGGCCCCGCACAAGCGGCGGAGCAUGCGGAUUAAUUCGAUGCAACGCGUAGAACCUUACCUGGGUUUGACAUGGAUCGGGAGUGCUCAGAGAUGGGUGUGCCUCUUUUGGGGUCGGUUCACAGGUGGUGCAUGCCUGUCGUCAACUCGUGUCGUGAGAUGUUGGGUUAAGUCCCGCAACGAGCGCAACCCUUGUUCACUGUUGCCAGCACGUUAUGGUGGGGACUCAGUGGAGACCGCCGGGGUCAACUCGGAGGAAGGUGGGGAUGACGUCAAGUCAUCAUGCCCCUUAUGUCCAGGGCUUCACGCAUGCUACAAUGGCUGGUACAGAGAGUGGCGAGCCUGUGAGGGUGAGCGAAUCUCGGAAAGCCGGUCUCAGUUCGGAUUGGGGUCUGCAACUCGACCUCAUGAAGUCGGAGUCGCUAGUAAUCGCAGAUCAGCAACGCUGCGGCGAAAAAGUUCCCGGG
rnacentral:rRNA from 1 species